AACGUAGGAGACAAACGUUAUCCGGAGUUACUGGGCGUAAAGGGCGUGUAGGCGGUCUGUUAAGUCUGGCGUGAAAGCUCUCGGCUAAACCGGGAGAGGUCGUUGGAUACUGGCAGACUAGAGGACGGUAGAGGCGUGUGGAAUUCCGGGUGUAGUGGUGAAAUGCGUAGAGAUCCGGAGGAACACCAGUGGCGAAGGCGGCAUCCUGGACCGGUAUUGACGCUGAGGCGCGAAAGCUAGGGGAGCAAACGGG
rnacentral:rRNA from 1 species